rnacentral:rRNA from 1 species
UACGUAGGGGGCUAGCGUUGUCCGGAAUCAUUGGGCGUAAAGCGCGUGUAGGCGGCCCGAUAAGUCCGCUGUGAAAGUCCAGGGCUCAACCCUGGGAUGCCGGUGGAUACUGUCGGGCUCGAGUCCGGAAGAGGCGAGUGGAAUUCCUGGUGUAGCGGUGAAAUGCGCAGAUAUCAGGAGGAACACCAAUGGCGAAGGCGGGUCUCUGGGCCGUAACUGACGCUAAGGAGCGAAAGCGUGGGGAGCGAACAGG